UGUACUACCCUUCAUAUAUCCUCGAUGAUAUGGAUCGAAAGUCUCUACCGGGCCGCCGUAAAUGGCCUGACUAUGAAGGCAGUAAUU
rnacentral:ncRNA from 1 species